rnacentral:rRNA from 1 species
UACGAAGGGGGCGAGCGUUGUUCGGAUUUACUGGGCGUAAAGGGCGCGCAGGCGGCUCAUUUUGUCAGGCGUGAAAGCCCCGGGCUUAACCUGGGAACUGCGUUUGAUACGGAUGGGCUAGAGUUCGGGAGAGGAGAGUGGAAUUCCCAGUGUAGAGGUGAAAUUCGUAGAUAUGGGGAGGAACACCGGUGGCGAAGGCGGCCACCUGGACGGUAACUGACGCUGAGACGCGAAAGCGUGGGGAGCAAACAGG